rnacentral:miRNA from 1 species
CAGUAAGCAGUCUAGAGCCAAG